AGCGAACGCUGGCGGCAGGCUUAACACAUGCAAGUCGAGCGGGCCCUUCGGGGUCAGCGGCGGACGGGUGAGUAACGCGUGGGAACGUGCCUUAUGGUCUGGAAUAACCCUGGGAAACUAGGGCUAAUACCGGAUACGCCCUUUUGGGGAAAGGUUUACUGCCGGAAGAUCGGCCCGCGUCUGAUUAGCCAGUUGGUGGGGUAACGGCCUACCAAGGCGACGAUCAGUAGCUGGUCUGAGAGGAGGAUCAGCCACACUGGGACUGAGACACGGCCCAGACUCCUACGGGAGGUAGCAGUGGGGAAUAUUGGACAAUGGGCGCAAGCCUGAUCCAGCCAUGCCGCGUGAGUGAUGAAGGCCUUAGGGUUGUAAAGCUCUUUUAUCCGGGACGAUAAUGACGGUACCGGAGGAAUAAGCCCCGGCUAACUUCGUG
rnacentral:rRNA from 1 species